rnacentral:hammerhead_ribozyme from 1 species
UCACUGCUGAAGGGUCCCAUACUAGGACGAAACGGCCGUCUAGUGA